rnacentral:tRNA from 1 species
GGUUGUGGCUCAGUGGUAGAACUCUUGCCUAGAAUGUGUGAGGUACUGGGUUCGAUCCUCAACACCA